UCCCCAGUGUCUCUGUUGGUAAAGAAUCUGCCUGCAGUGCAGGAGACCCUGGUUUGAUCCCUGGGUCGGGAA
rnacentral:tRNA from 1 species